UAUUAAUAUCUUAUGUUAACAAAAGCUCUUGUCAUUUAAAAUUUUGGAACAUAAAUGAAUAUGAUUCAAUCUCGAUGCUUGAAAUGGCUAAAUGUUUUCAUAUUAGAAAAUAUAGAGGAUAUUUGUUCUCAUGAGAAGACUUAAGAGGGCUGCCAAAGCCAUACAAAUAUAAAUACAAGAUCGAUGCUAGUAACAAAAGCAUGAAUCACAUGCAAAUUCCAUUUGACACAACUUAAUUGAAAAACAGGGCCUUCUGCUCUUCCUCUUUGUUGUGGCCUUCAAAUGAGUCUUCUUCUCACGUUUAUCAUCAACAAAUAUCUCCAGCUUGAGCUUCAAUGAUGGCAAAAUGGGAGCUCAAAUCUUAUUACAGGGACCCCAUGAGUUACCAUAUUUAUAAAACUUACAAUCCCACCAAAUGAUCUUUCAAAUGUUCAACUUUACAAUCUUCGUCACAAAUAUUCCACUACAAAUGGCGGAAGGCAUCAUGUGCGAUCAUCUUUGGCUCCAACAAAAACCCUACUUUCCGAAAUCUCUUUUAUCACCACCAUUAACAUAUCAUGUGAAGGUCAAAGCCAAGAGGCCUAAUCGCCGCAUACUUUAUAAUAUAUGGAAAAUGAGGGGGCACCCAAGCAAGAAGGCAUUGGUUCGGAACUUGAUCUUUGUAGAUUAGGGUUAGAUCCAAACAAUGUUGGGUUGAUUUUAACAGUUGGUUUGGUUCAAUUCAAAUUGGGUAAAAUUUAUUUGGGUCAAGCCUGAGUUGAGAUAGUUGACUCAUUUUUUAAAUUGAACCGAACUUAAAUUAAAGAGAGUUCGAUUUGGUCUAGUUUACAAGCCAAGUAAAUGUUUGAUUCGAUCGAGUUUGGCUCAUAACUCAAUUUAUGUCAUCUCAAACAAUUAUCAAAAUUACAUCAUUUUACUCA